rnacentral:lncRNA from 1 species
ACUCUGUAGUCACCCAGGCUGGAAUGCAGUGGUGCGAUCUUGGCUCACUGCAACCUCCACCUCCCAGAUGCAAGCGAUUCUUGUGCCUCAGCCUCCCGAGUAGCUGGGAUUAAAGGCAUGCGCCACCACGCCCAGGAGACAGCUUCCCAAGGCUGGAAAGAGGGGAGUGCGGAACAUGCCUCCACCAUACCACUGCCCACCUCCUGUGACCUCUGCAGCAAAACCUGAAGCCCCAAAGAGGCAGCUUCUCAAAGUAAAAGUGGAAUGAAGGUCAGUUCCUGGUGACCUGAAUUCCCAUGGAGGAAAGAGGAAAAGGACAUUAUGCAAGGAGAUGGCAUCUCGUGUCCCUGGUGAACCAAAUUCCAUUAGGAAGACGGUGCAGUGUGAGGUGGACCUGGACCUGGAUAAAAUGGGUGUUUAACAAGUAUUUGUUGAGUAGGUGGUGGAGGAGGCACGACUAGAUGCAGGGUCUAGCUGAGUUGACAAGAGCUAACACCAGGUGUGGACCAGGACAGGGGGACCUUAAGCGAAGACACCCUGCCAGAUGUGUCUUGUUCCCUUGACUGUGGGGAGGCCCUUGGUGGUGGGGUGACGGUCCCCCAGUCUGAGGAUUUUCCCUGGAUGUAGCCUCUCAGUGCUAAAAUGGGACAGUCCCAGGCAAACCAGGUCAGUUGGUCACUCUACUCAGUGAGCCCCGUGCUGUGUUCAAAUUUUCCUCUUAACAGAUGUGGAUGGAUUUCGGAAACUUAGAAACCACCAUUUCUCUGUGCCUGGGAGGAGAGUUAAAUCUUCUCACCAGAAUCCUUUUAUGUGUGAGAGAAAUAAAUAUCUAUCCUUUUUAUAUCUCUUUUGUUUUGGAUUCUUUGUCACCAGCAGCCAAACCCAAUUCUUACAUAAACGUGAUACUAAUUAAAUUCAUUUGCAUAAACUCA